CGAUCCCAGCCUAACUUAAUUUCCCAUGUGGCCCAUUUAUCUCCUUCAACAAAAUAGCGCAGCCCAUUCCUUUUCACAGUAACAAUACAAUACUUACGCAUACCCAUCCUCUUCUUCCUCAAUCGCCACCCGACCCAGCCCCUACGUUCUUCUUGUUCAACAAGUGACCAUCUUCACUCGCGAACAGCCCAGAAUCGCAAGGCUUGACUCGGCAGUGUCUUUUUCUCCCUCUCUCCCUCAUCAUGUAGGUUGAGAAAUCUCCUUCCCUCGCUUGUCCUUUAUCCUAGAAUCGAAUGACUCCCUUCAUUGCUCCUUUAACGAUUGUACAAAUUGGUACAAUUGACAGCUCUAAAAACUUAUCGGGGUAGAGCAAUUUGAAUUUCAAAAAUUUUAAUUUGAAAUUCCUUCAACCAGAUUUCUCCCCUUUUACAACCCUAAUUUUCAUCUAUAAAUAGCUCCUUCUUUCUUCGUUAUUUAGUUUGGUCUAUCGCUGAAAGAAAAUGAUAAAAAAUUCGGAAAAGUUUGCAGAGAACAAAGAAAGGGUCGGAGAAAUACAGAGAAGAGGUUGGCAAUUCAAAAAUAGAGAAAGAAAAAAACACAACUAAACAACUACAAGGUAUAUAAGAAAUACACUUGAAAGAGAGAGAAAGGAGUUAGUUUCAGUCCUUCUAGCUUGAUCACCAUUGUUCUUUAAGUUCGUUCAAGUUUUAGAUGCUGCCUAGGCUUCUUGUUUCCUGUCUAGCCUGGGUUUUGGUGGUGAAAGAUCAUUGCCCUCCUUGCUCAUCCCGUCCUAGUUCGCUGCCCAGAAAAAGGAAAUCUGUCUAAAAUAUGAAUGCGGAGGUUUUUUAGCAAGAAAUACAGAAAAAACCACAUACGGAGCUUGUGACGGUUCGUCGUGGUCAUGACGGUCCAUAGGUGGCAGCGUAGUGCAGCUGCUGAAGGAAGAUGGGGAAUUUUUACCAAGUGUGGAGUUACGAAGUGCGUGAUGGACCUUCGUAGCCAUGAUGGUCCAUCCUGCUGGUUCGUCAUGAUGAUCAGAGAAGUAGUCCCAGUACUAGGAGUUCAAGUGUUUUGGAACGGAGACCCUCGACGGACCGUUUUGCCUAUGACGAUCCAUCAUACCUGUCGUCGAGGGUAAUGAAGAGAGUAGAAGAAGAAAUUGCACAAGUAUGGGACGAGGGAAUCCAUGACGGCCCCUCGUGACUACGACGAUCCGUCGACCCAGCCGCGUUUUGACAAAUUUCCAGCAAAUAGAGUCCUUAUUUAGUUAGGUUUUUAUUUUUUUA